GUGCCAGCCGCCGCGGUAAUACGGGGGGGGCAAGCGUUGUUCGGAAUUACUGGGCGUAAAGGGCUCGUAGGUGGCCCGCUAAGUUGGACGUGAAAUCCCUCGGCUCAACCGGGGAACUGCGUCCAAGACUGGCAGGCUUGAAUCCGGGAGAGGGACGUGGAAUUCCAGGUGUAGCGGUGAAAUGCGUAGAUAUCUGGAGGAACACCGGUGGCGAAGGCGGCGUCCUGGACCGGUAUUGACACUGAUGAGCGAAAGCCAGGGGAGCAAACGGGAUUAGAUACCCUCGUAGUCC
rnacentral:rRNA from 1 species